GCGGGUGUAGUAUAACGGCUAUUAUGCGUGCUUCCCAAGCAUGAGACGAGGGUUCGACUCCCUCCACCCGCACCA
rnacentral:tRNA from 3 species